GAUGAACGCUAGCUACAGGCUUAAUACAUGCAAGUCGAGGGGAAACGACAUCGAAAGCUUGCUUUUGAUGGGCGUCGACCGGCGCACGGGUGAGUAACGCGUAUCCAACCUGCUCACCACUUGGGGAUAACCUUGCGAAAGUAAGACUAAUACCCAAUGAUAUCUCUAGAAGACAUCUGAAAGGGAUUAAAGAGUUAUCGGUGAUGGCUGGGGAUGCGUCUGAUUAGCUUGUUGGCGGGGUAACGGCCCACCAAGGCUACGAUCAGUAGGGGUUCUGAGAGGAAGGUCCCCCACAUUGGAACUGAGACACGGUCCAAACUCCUACGGGAGGCAGCAGUGAGGAAUAUUGGUCAAUGGACGGGAGUCUGAACCAGCCAAGUAGCGUGCAGGAUGACGGCCCUAUGGGUUGUAAACUGCUUUUAUAAGGGAAUAAAGUGAGUCUCGUGAGACUUUUUGCAUGUACCUUAUGAAUAAGGACCGGCUAAUUCCGUGCCAGCCGCCGCCGUAA
rnacentral:rRNA from 1 species